UGAGUAACCUGCCCUUAACUCUGGGAUAAGCCUGGGAAACUGGGUCUAAUACCGGAUAUGACUCCUCAUCGCAUGGUGGGGGGUGGAAAGCUUUUUGUGGUUUUGGAUGGACUCGCGGCCUAUCAGCUUGUUGGUGAGGUAAUGGCUCACCAAGGUGACGACGGGUAGCCGGCCUGAGAGGGUGACCGGCCACACUGGGACUGAGACACGGCCCAGACUCCUACGGGAGGCAGCAGUGGGG
rnacentral:rRNA from 1 species